AAACUCUCAACGAUGGAUAUCUUGGUUCCUACGACGAUGAAGAACGCAGCGAAGUGCGAAAAGCAGUGCGAAUUGCAGAACCGUGAGUCAUCAGAUCUUUGAACGCAACCGGCGCCGAGUGGCUUGCCAGUCGGCAUGCUUGUUUCAGUGUUUUAUAUCCCCUUCACCCAAAU
rnacentral:rRNA from 1 species